CNUGGGAACUGCGUUCUGAACUGGGUGACUAGAGUGUGUCAGAGGGAGNUAGAAUUCCACGUGUAGCAGUGAAAUGCGUAGAGAUGUGGAGGAAUACCGAUGGCGAAGGCAGCCUCNUGGGAUAACACUGACGUUCAUGCCCGAAAGCGUGGGUAGCAAACAGGAUUAGAUACCCUGGUAGUCCACGCCAUAAACGAUGUCGAUUAGCUGUUGGGCAGCAUGACUGCUUAGUAGCGAAGCUAACGCGUGAAAUCGACCGCCUGGGGAGUACGGUCGCAAGAUUAAAACUCAAAGGAAUUGACGGGGACCCGCACAAGCGGUGGAUGAUGUGGAUUAGUUCGAUGCAACGCGAAGAACCUUACCUGGUCUUGACAUGUACGGAACCCUCCAGAGACGGAGGGGUGCCUUCGGGAGCCGUAACACAGGUGCUGCAUGGCUGUCGUCAGCUCGUGUCGUGAGAUGUUGGGUUNNNNNNNNNNAACGAGCGCAACCCUUGUCAUUAGUUGCCAUCAUUAAGUUGGGCACUCUAAUGAGACUGCCGGUGACAAGCCGGAGGAAGGUGGGGAUGACGUCAAGUCCUCAUGGCCCUUAUGACCAGGGCUUCACACGUCAUACAAUGGUCGGUACAGAGGGUAGCCAAGCCGCGAGGUGGAGCCAAUCUCACAAAACCGAUCGUAGUCCGGAUUGCACUCUGCAACUCGAGUGCAUGAAGUCGGAAUCGCUAGUAAUCGCAGGUCAGCAUACUGCGGUGAAUACGUUCCCGGGUCU
rnacentral:rRNA from 1 species